rnacentral:piRNA from 1 species
UAGCAGAGUGAGAGACAAAGCACCCUGGA